rnacentral:misc_RNA from 1 species
UGGUUCAGGGGCAGUGCCAUCCUCGGUUUUCCCUUGUCCUCGCCCGCAGUCGCGACGCUGAGCCACGCAAAGAAUGCCUCGCCCCUAUAAGAAGAGCAAAAGUGACGUGGGGACAGCCAAGUACAGCACACCAUGCAAGUUCUUCCUACGCGGAAGCUGCUCCAAUCAGCGCUGCCCCUACCUACACGUCCGAAACCAGACGGUGAUACGGUCAGUCAGACAUAAGGAGGUUGCUGCUCAGCAGGGAAACGGCACCGUGAAGGUGAUGUCGACGAUGCUGAAGCUGUUUUUCGAGAAGCAGACGCAGCUCAUCUACAACGCGGAGACUGGAAUGCUGAAUCUGUCACAGCUCACGUCUUUUGACGACUUGUCCACUGUCGCCUCCAGCAUCAACUUUAAUACGCGCACCUUCUGCGUCGCGCUGUGCACGUGCAUUCGAGAGCUGGUCUCGCCGCCGCCGACGAUUAUGCAGCUCGACCGCAAUGACGUGAAAGGCUUCCACAACCUCGGCAAGGCCCUCGAGGAGGCGGGCCUUCAUGCCUCUCUGCGUGCCCUGUCACUCGCGCACAACAAGAUCACGUCCACCGACAUUGCACAGGAGCUGAGGCACUUCGCAAACCUGACAGAGCUGAACCUCGUCGGCAACCCCGUCACGGAGAGCACGGACUACAAGCUGAAGUUUAAAAAGCACUUGCCGUGGCUACAGGGUCUCGAUGGGGCGAGUAUGGCGGCCCCACCGCUGGAACUUCCGUGGCCGCGAUUCUUUGACCCCAAGCACGCGCCAAUCGAUGUGAUGAACGCCGAUCACGGCUUCUCCUCCAGCGUGCGUGUAUACGACAGCGGGCAGAAAGCCCUGUUGAACUUCAUUCAGUCGGCGGUGCUCAACCCGCUCGAGAUGGAGCCGGCCCCAGGCCUGCUGACCGGCGUGGAUGCCGUGUCGGACGUCUACGCGCUCAACGCUACCUUUACCUUUAGUCUGGUGUCCAACGAGGCCGCUGUAUCGACGCCAAGUCGAACGGUUGGCGGCGGCGCCUCCACAGCGCAGCGCGAUGUGGUGCGCGAAAUCGUGGGCUUCCGCAUGCGCCAGACGGAGAGCAACCACAAUGUGCUCCUCGGCCUCAAGUCAACGACCGUGGCAAUCGGUCGAACAAGCGUGUGCGCCAAACUGGAGCACGUGCUGUAUCCGAAGAACUUUGUUGUGGGUCACUACAUCCACGACAGUCCGGAUGUAGCGGUGCUGGACAACAAAGGGUUCGGCCCCAGCGCCGUUGUAGGCAUGAAGCAGCCGCUCUCUGUCAUUACCCUGCAUGGCGUGAUGCUGUGGCGCUACCGCACCGCCGGCUCGGGCGCCGACGUGCAGCACAGCACCCUCGUGCGCGAUGCCAUCGUCAUAAAGCGCAACUUCUCGCGCGUGAUCACGGUGUCGUCGACGGAUCCGGGCCGCUGGCACAUCGUGAAUGACAUGGUCACUCUCUACCCCUUCCGCGGUGGCAGCGGCGACGAAGACGAGUUGGAGGCGUCGAACGCUGCGAGCAGCGGCGCAGGUGUGAGCACCGCUCCCUCGACGCCAGAGAACAUUCUCUUCCGUGAUGUGCAUCCGUAUGACGUGCUCUUUAGCCCUGCCACGGACCCGAAGCGGACGGCGCGGAUUGCGCGGCGGUACCGCGUGCCCGCCCCCAUCGUGGCCAUUCUGUGCUCAUUCGUGCACUCCGACAGGGAGUUGGGCGUCAUCUUGAUGGACUUGACGGACAUUCCGUUGGAGGUGUACGAACAGUGCGCCACGUUCGUCGAGAUGGACCCGCUCGCGAGCAUUUUUCUGUGCCGCAUCGGCAACCGUUUUAGUAUGGAGCCGGCGGAGGGGGUCGCGCUGCUGCGAAGGUGCGGCCUUGACUGGUCUGCCAUUGUGCAGGCGAUCGGCCGGUGAGCCGGAUGCGAACAUCAGGUAAAAGAAAGGAGUCGGUGGCGCAGGUGCUAACAAGGGCGCCGAGGCGACGUCUUGUGGCUUGUGCGCAGCCUUGCCUUUCAAUCCUGUUGCUUGCCUCAGAUGCUCUUGCUCGUGCUGCACGCCUCCGUCAUCUGGAUCUCACCGGCCUUUUUUUUUGGUUUGUUCCCUUCGAUUAAGUCUAAGGCGAUGCCGGGUUUAUGGUUUCUGUCGUUUUCUCGCGUGCGAGUGCAUGCAUGGGAGUAAUGCCCGGAAGAGCGCAC